rnacentral:lncRNA from 1 species
CCCAGGCCUGGGCAGGAAAACGUGCAGCCCCCCCCCCCCAGCAGCUGUCCCUGGCUCGGUGGGGGCCGGGAACCCUGAGCCAGGUGGAAGGAGCCCCCACCAGAGGGGAGGAGCCCCGAGCCAGGCGGAGGAGCCCCCAGCACCAACCAGAGCAUCCCAGCAGGCGACAGCUCAUGCCCAGGUGGAUGCUACAGGGCCCAGACCACGGACGAGGGUCCCCGAGGACGGCGUCACUGCUGUGGCCGAGGGGGCCUCAGCCACACACGCUCACACAGACACAAUCACACUCUCCCACACACAUGUAAACACGCUCACCCCCCCACACAUACCCAGGCCCACGUGUGCACCCCCGCAGCCCGCUCGAUGCCAGCGGCCUGGGAGGGAGACGAAGGCAGCUGGCGGCCCAGAGGGGCCGCGGACGGACAGUGCCCUCGCCCGGCCUGAAGGCUGGCAGCCCCGUGACCGGGUGCCCGCGGGGCAGCGCCUUGAACGGGGGCACACGCGGAGCGCCCACAUGGCCCUCCCUCCUGUGCCCUUCAGCCCGGGUCCCAGCGGCCACUACUGCCGGGGGCGGGGGGAGUGCUCGGGGCCUGCAGCUGAGGGCGACCUCCUCCUCCGCCCCCCGGGCCCUUCCCGGGCACAGGCCGAGCAGAGCCAGGCCCGGGGCUCCCUCAUCCCCUCCUGCUCCUCCCCCGCCAGGCCCGGCUUCUCCCAAUUACAAGGCCUGCACUAAUUGCUCCCUGCUUGACAGGAUUCAAUUAAGAGUCUCCCAGGGACUGAGUGUGCCAGGAGCUACCAGGUGGGGGCGGGGCCUUGCCCGGGCCCCCCACCCCGGGGCUUCCAGGCUGGCGCUCGGGGAUGCCCCAGAAGGCGCGCCCCGAGGUCCCGGACCUUCGGCCCCUCCCGACCUGCCCGGCCUCCCCAAGGCAGCCCCUUGGGAGGGAGGCCCCUUCCCCCAUUCCCCCCCCCCGGGCUUCCCUCCUCCGGGCAGCCCGGAGGGACGUUGGAGGCUGGCCAGCUCCCCAAAAGCUCAGGGACCUGUGUCUCCCCCGAGCCCCGGAUGCCACCUCGGGCACUUCCCAGCCCCCCAGGCCCC